rnacentral:rRNA from 1 species
GACGAACGCUGGCGGCGUGCCUAAUACAUGCAAGUAGAACGCUGAAGGAGGGGCUUGCUUCUCUGGAUGGGUUGCGAACGGGUGAGUAACGCGUAGGUAACCUGCCUGGUAGCGGGGGAUAACUAUUGGAAACGAUAGCUAAUACCGCAUAAGAGUAGAUGUUGCAUGACAUUUGCUUAAAAGGUGCAAUUGCAUCACUACCAGAUGGACCUGCGUUGUAUUAGCUAGUUGGUGGGGUAACGGCUCACCAAGGCGACGAUACAUAGCCGACCUGAGAGGGUGAUCGGCCACACUGGGACUGAGACACGGCCCAGACUCCUACGGGAGGCAGCAGUAGGGAAUCUUCGGCAAUGGACGGAAGUCUGACCGAGCAACGCCGCGUGAGUGAAGAAGGUUUUCGGAUCGUAAAGCUCUGUUGUAAGAGAAGAACGAGUGUGAGAGUGGAAAGUUCACACUGUGACGGUAUCUUACCAGAAAGGGACGGCUAACUACGUG